rnacentral:lncRNA from 1 species
GUUACAGUUCCUCAUGGUCAACAGCUAUCUGGAGGGAGAUGACCCUCCUUCUGACCAUGUUGUCCAGAGAUCAGUAGUAGCCUAAUGCUAUGUCACAGUGCCUGUGUCAUCCCCUCACUUCAUCUCAUCGUGUAGGCAUUUUAUCAUCUCAUAUCAUCACAAGAAUAAGAAAGAUUUUCACUGUGAGAAACUGUGGCAUUCCUGGAAGUAAAACCCACAAAACACUGGGCCCCCAGAAGUUUAUCACUUGUAAAGCUAAUCCACACUCUGCCUCAAGCAGUUGGUCUAAAUUAGCUAUCAAGAGUUCUUAUCAGCCUAUGUGGCUCCAGUGGCUUUUGCUCCAGGUAAGCUGAUGGUGACUAUUAUUCUCUAUAUUUGCCUGUCUCAUCAAAUUUCAGGAUGAUUAUUUCCCUGUGACCUCAUUUUUGCAGUUGAUUUAAGAGAAGUCAUUGAUCUGCGUUUUGCUUUUUUCUUGUUGUGAAGACAGAAGUGAUGGUCUCCAUGUUGGAGCUGAAAUUGGAAGUCCUUCAUUGCAUUUAAAAAUACACCAUGGAACACUUCUUUCUCCCUGGUAGAGCCAUUUUAGUUAAGAUGUAGAGUAAUGGGAAUUGUUAGAAGAUCAAAUGAGGUGAAGUGAUCUUUGAGGAAUUUGUUGAGUUAAGAGAGUUUACUUAAAA